ACCAACUAUCUUGAAUGCACUGGUCUUGUCCUUUUUUUGGAAGCUAAACAGGCUUAAGCCUAGUUUGUACUGGGAUGGGAGACUGCUGGAGAAUAUCAGGGAUCUCCUGGUA
rnacentral:rRNA from 1 species